UUCAAAGAGGGAGCUAGAUGCAUUCCUGCUGGACUUAUUAAGAGGCUGCAGAACCAGGCAUGACACUAUUAAGCUGUCCCCCCACUUCAUCUAUUAGACCUUGGAAGAUGGGUUGAAGAGAGCCAGUAAGGUACUGUGCCAGGGCUGAAAAGAAUACCGUGAACACUGCCCCUGCUCUCAUGGAGCAGGCUGUCCAGCAGCGGCCUGAGAAGAUGAUGACUGAUGAUACAUGAAAACGAGAGAAGAUACGUGUAAACCUUGCAUGA